rnacentral:ncRNA from 1 species
UAAGAUGGAGAUAAAAACACAGUUUCGGUUGGUAGUCCGAACCUAUCCAUAUUUUGUAGAUAGCAGUAACCUGCCCUCCUGGGGUUGUCCCUUCUUCAGGUUUUAAUU